UGGAUGCUGACGCAAUGUGAUUUCUGCCCAGUGCUUUGAAUGUUAAAGUGAAUAAAUUCAACCAAGAAUGGGUAAACGACAUGAGUAACUAUGACUCUCUUAAGGUAGUCAAAUUCCUCACCAUCUAAUUAGUGAUGCACAUGAAUGGAUUAGCUAGAUUCCCACUAUCCAUAUCUACUAUCUAGUGAAACCACAACCAAGGGAAUGGGCUUGGCAUAAUCAACAGGGAAAGAAGACCUUGUUGAGAUUGACCAUAGUCCAACUUUGUGAAAUGAAUUGAGAGUUGUAGAAUAAGUGGGAAUUUUUUUUGGCACUAAUGAAAUACCACUACUUUUAACAUUAUUUUACUUGUAAUUUUGUGGGGCAGAGACAGGGAAGUUACCAUAUUUUUGACCUUACGUCAUUUCAAAACCCUAUAUAUUAUUAAAUAUGUCAAAACCCCUAUCCAUGAGACUAUGGUUAAAUACAAAUGGGAAAAAAAAGGUGGAUACAAAAAUGCCACCCAUUCCUCGUAAGGGUCCUCCCUAUGAUCUUGUUGUAUCUCAUAAUGUUGCACACUCCAUUGAUAUCCAUGUGGU
rnacentral:ncRNA from 1 species